rnacentral:rRNA from 1 species
GCCUAACACAUGCAAGUCGAACGGCAGCGCGGGGAAGCUUGCUCCCCUGGCGGCGAGUGGCGGACGGGUGAGUAAUACGUAUGAAUCUGCCAGUACUGGGGGACAACCCGGGGAAACUCGGGCUAAUACCGCAUACGUCCCCUUUCACAUCUAUGGGAGGGGAAAGCGGGGGACCUUCGGGCCUCGCGCAUUGGAGGAUCCUACGGCGGAUUAGCUUGUUGGUCGGGUAACGGCCUACAAGGCGAGGAUCCGUAGCUGGUCUGACAGGACGACCAGCCACACUGGGAUGAAAUACGGCCCAAAGUCCUACGGGAGGCAACAGUGGGGAAUAUUGGAAAUGGGCGAAAGCCUGAUCCAGCAAUGCCGCGUGUGUGAAGAAGGCCUUUGGUUGUAAAGCGAC